GCAUCUUUAGUUCAGUUGGUAGAACGUAGGUUUCCAAAACCUGAUGUCAUAGGUUCGAUUCCUAUAGGAUGCG
rnacentral:tRNA from 1 species